AAAAAAAAAAAAAAAAAAAAAAAAAAAACAGAAACCUUAGUUGUUAAAGAAAUCCAAACCCGCUAGAUGUAUCAGAGCGUUGAGAAAGCUUCUCCUAGAGUUAAGAGAAAAGAAAAGAAUGAUAUGAAAAAGAGUUUGAAAGAUUCAUGAGUGCAAAGGGUAGAGUUAAGUUGGGACAGGAGUUGGGAUUACCAUUAGAGCUUCAUUGUUAUACUCUGGGUAGAUGGGAUCUUAUCUCUGUAUGCAUAACUUGGGACUUACCUUUAGCAUUCUACUAAAGCUCAAUCAUUCUUGAGGGAUCCCCUGUUACUUAAGCCUAUUCUGUAGGGGACCAUCUUUGUCUCUUGACCUUCACCUUAGCCAAAUGAGUUCAUUGAUGAUGCAUUGCUUGAUUCACGUUCCAGAACUAAUGAAUGUUAAAGGGAUUGGUAGAUUUGAAAACAUGUGUAGGUCGAGUAUAAGAGACGGAUUUAUUGAUAACAAGGCAUGCCUAACGUUUUUGAGUGGAAUUCAAUCAUAUCGCAUCUUAGAACUACCAACUUGGACAUUGAUUUUAUUUGCUCUAUCAUAUGCUUUGGUUCUGAGUCCCCGCCUUCACUCCUCUCCUUCAACUAUGUCUUCUUAUUUGCUUGAGGGCAAGCAAAGACUAAGUUUGGGGGAGUUGAUAUGUCUAUAAUUUGCAUGUUUUCAGUGUCUAUUCAUCAUCACUUUGAGUCUAGUUUCGUAUCAUUCAUCACUGUUUUAUAUCAUUUCUCAUCAUUCUUGCACACUUUCGAUGAUUAGGAUAGCUUUGCACACAUAUUGCAUCUCUGAGUUGUUUUCAGGUGAUUUGCAGCUGUUUGCGAGCAAAUUGGAAGAAACGAGCCAGAACCAGAAGACAUACUCGACCCCCAGGCCGAGUGACUUUGGAGCCAUUCUUCCCACAUACUCGACCCCCAGGUCGAGUGACUUUGGAGCCAUUCUUCCCGUCCACUCGACCACCAGGUCGAGUAACCUCAGCUCAGGCCACUCGACGACAUUACUCGACCCCCUGGUCGAGUACCGCUUCGCCACACCACCUGACCACACUCGACCAUUCACUCUACCACGUUACUCGACCCCCUGGUCGAGUAUCAUCACUCACCACCAUCACCAUCAGUCGACCGGACACUCGAUCACGUCUUCACAGUCUACUCAAAUCCGCACUCAACCAGACAAGCUGAGCACAAGGAAGAAAAGAGGAGAAGACAAAGUGUUUGGAAGCGGCCUGGACCUCCAUCGGAUCACGAAGCCCAUCUCGGCCCAUUAUCACUCUAUGGGCCGGGCGAUUAGGUUAUUGGCCCGUCUACUAUCAUUUUAUUUCGUUUGGUAUAAAUAGAUGUUUUAGGGUUCUGUCCUGAGACAUCUAGUCGACAUUGCGUUUUUGCUUCAGUUUUAUUUUCAGUUUUACUCUGCUACGCCGCUUUUGCUUCUGCAACCUGUAGUUCGCGAUUUUUCCAAGUUAUUGAGAUUCCGCGUUUGAUUUCAUUAGUCAUCUUGUUUCUCUACUCUUUAUCUCUUUACUUAUGCAAUAUUAUCGUUUACCUGCGUUUAUGUCUUUGAGCAUGCUGUCUGAGUAGUGACUUAGAAUUCUUAGGGAUGGGAUAGAGUAGUUGUGGAAUCCGUAGUCUGUAGAAUGGUUAAGUUUUAGAAUUGAUUGAAUCCCUUUAGGACUAGUUGCGUUUACUGCUUAUUUCUUUCUGAUCAACUGGAAUUCGAUCCCAAGCAUUCCCGCACCCAGAAGGUGUUCGAUGGAAUGCUUGAUCCACUAGUUCAUGAGAUAUGCGACUCUAUCCCAAGGGAUUGGCCGUUUAGAGCGUUUAUUGACUUUAUCAGUCUGUUCGUAUUGCCUGCAUAGUUAGAUUCCGUUAAUGGGAAUUAGUCUGGGCUAGCUUUGCUUGAGGAUUUCUAUCACGGGAGUGAAUUGGUCUGUUGUUGAACCUGUUGUCUAGGGAUAGCUUGAUUGCGCUUGUUAACCAUUCGAAUAGGCUAGGACACCACUCUACUCGAUUACCCCAUCCUUAGGAAUUUCUCGUCUAUCUUAUUUCUCUGUUUUAUCGUUAUCGCUUAAUCGUUCUCAUUGCCUGUUUCUUAGUUUUUACAAUCACUCGACCAACUUACUCGACCACACCCAGUGUCUGGCAACAGACUGUGCAGUCGAGUAUAGCUGUUUCAUAUCCUGUCUAUUACUCGACCUGUUACUCGACCACAUCCUACUUCUGGCAUCAGCCUGUUGUGGUCGAGUGAUUUUAGUAAUUCUGUUAUUGCUUCUGUUUUCUGCAUGUUCGCUUAGGACUGUUAGAAACCCCAAAACUGUUAUUGCUUGGCUUGACUUAGUGACUUCUGAUCACAUCUCAUCUGUUUGCAUCACACCCAUUUGGAUUGACACCUAAAAUACUACAACGACAUGAUUGGUGUUUUAGGAAUAAUUGACUAAAAACCUAUUAUCAAUUUGGCGCCGUUGCCAAUUGGGUGUUUGUUUGCUAUAUUUGAGAUUUCAGAAUAUUUAAGAUCAAGUUCUUUUUCAUUUUUUCUGAAAGUUACUAACUUUGUGUUAUUUCUGUUUGUCUGUUUUGAUUCAGGUACUACGAAUCACUAGCUUCACCAGUUGGUACUCGUUGUAUGCAAACACGGUCACGAGGAAAUCAGAAUCUCCUGUUCAACGAUAACAUCGACCGUAUUGCACGCCAACUCAGAACACAGACAGAAACAGAGACAAUGGCUGCAGUUGUUGAUGAGCAGGUGCAACCAAACAACAUAGGUGCAGGCGAUGCACCACGCAACCACAAUCAGCGUAAUGGCAUCGUGCCUCCACCUGUGCAGAACAACAACUUUGAGAUCAAGAGCGGUCUCAUUGCCAUGGUUCAGAGCAACAAGUUCCACGGCCUCCCUAUGGAGGAUCCACUCGAUCACCUGGACGAGUUUGAUAGGCUCUGCAGCCUAACAAAGAUCAAUGGAGUCAGUGAGGAUGGCUUCAAGCUCAGAUUGUUUCCUUUCUCUCUUGGAGACAAAGCCCAUCAGUGGGAAAAGUUGCUUCCUCAAGGCUCUAUCACCUCCUGGAAUGACUGCAAGAAAGCCUUCUUGGCUAAGUUUUUCUCAAACUCCAGGACUGCGAGACUAAGGAAUGAUAUCUUCGGUUUCACUCAGACGAAUAAUGAGACUUUCUGCGAAGCAUGGGAGCGCUUCAAAGGUUAUCAGACGCAAUGUCCUCAUCAUGGUUUCUCCAAAGCUUCGCUUCUCAGCACUCUCUACAGAGGUGUCCUCCCAAAGAUCAGGAUGCUUCUAGAUACCGCUUCUAACGGGAACUUUCUCAACAAAGACGUUGAAGACGGAUGGGAGCUGGUAGAGAACUUAGCUCAGUCGGAUGGCAACUAUAAUGAAGAUUAUGAUAGAAGCGUCCGCACCAGCUCUGAUUCUGAUGAGAAGCACCGCAGGGAAAUGAAAGCCAUGAAUGACAAACUGGACAAGCUACUGCUUGUGCAACAGAAGCACAUUCAUUUUCUGGGUGAUGAUGAGACGUUCCAAGUUCAGGAUGGGGAGACUAUGCAGUCAGAAGAGGUCAGUUAUGUGCAGAACCAAGGAGGUUACAACAAAGGUUUCAACAACUUCAAGCAGAACCAUCCCAAUCUGUCUUACAGAAGUACAAACGUUGCAAACCCGCAGGACCAAGUUUACCCUUCACAGCAGCAGAAUCAACCUAAGCCCUUUGUUCCAUACAACCAAGGUCAAGGGUAUGUUCCUAAGCAGCAGUAUCAGGGCAACUAUCAGCAGCAACUUCCACCACCUGGGUUCACACAGCAGCAACAACAACCAGCUUCAACAACUCCAGAUUCGGACUUGAAGAACAUGUUACAGCAGAUUCUCCAAGGGCAAGCUGCAGGAGCAAUGGAUCUCGCCAAAAAGAUGGCCGAAAUCCACAACAAGGUUGAUUGUACUUUCAACGAUCUGAAUAUCAAACUUGAGGCACUUACCUCUAAGGUCAGAUACAUGGAAGGACAAACAGCGUCAACUUCUGCUCCAAAAGUAACAGGACUUCCAGGAAAGUCCAUACAGAACCCGAAGGAAUACGCCACCGCUCACGCUAUCACCAUCUGUCAUGAUCGAGAGCUGCCUACUCGACAUGUCUCCACAUCAAUCACCGAGGACAGUGAUGUUCAAGACGGGGAGGUUUCUACUCAGAUUGAAAUUUCAGUGGUUGGACUCGACCAUUCAGCAGGAUCCCGUUUUCAAACCCAGUCCAACCUAGACGAGAAAGCAGCCAUCAUUGAGAGGAUGGUAAAACGAUUCAAGCCAGCACCAUUACCUUCACGUGCUCUUCCAUGGAAAUUCAGGAAAGCAUGGAUAGAAAGAUACAAUCCUCUUGCAGAGAAGCAGCUUGAUGAAAUGGAAGCGGUGAUGCCUCUAAUAGAAGUUCUCAACCUAAUCCCGGAUCCUCACAAAGAUGUGAGAAAGUCAAUUCUGGAAAGGAUCAAGAUUCAUCAGGAUUCAGAAGACGAAUGUGAUGCUAUUCCGCCUAGGACCACUGUUAAGAGGAGUGUUCAAGAAAAACUGGAAGAUCCAGGAACUUUCACUCUACCAUGUUCCAUCGGCCAAUUGGUUUUCAGCGAUUGUCUUUGUGAUUUGGGAGCUUCAGAAAGCUUAAUGCCACUCUCAGUGGCAAGGAAGCUGGAAUUCACUCAGUACAAACCUUGCGACCUGACUUUAAUCCUUGCUGAUAGGUCUUCAAGAAAACCCUUCGGCCUUCUACAAGAUCUGCCAGUAAUGAUUAAUGGAGUGGAAGUGCCCACGGAUUUCAUUGUGCUUGAUAUGGAAGCAGAACCUAAGGAUCCUCUAAUCCUAGGAAGACCUUUCUUAGCCUCAGUGGGAGCGAUGAUAGAUGUCAGAGAUGGGAGAAUAAGUCUCAACCUUGGGAAGCACAUCAAGCUGCAGUUUGACAUCAACGAAACUUCGCAAAGGUCAGCUGUAGAAGAAAGGAUCAGGGCUCAACCUCAGCCUUCGAAUUCAAUCACUAGACCAAGCACAGCCUCUACACCCGACUUACGAGAUCUCAAAAAGAAAUCUGAUGAGCAAGAAGAGACCAUAGAGAAGCUAGCUCAGACAGUUGAGGAACUUAAGAGUAAACUAGAUCAGAUGCAAGAGAUAGCUAAAUCCAAAUGCGGGAAUAACACUAUCCCGAGGAAAAAGAUUACUUCAAGAUGGUCUGAAGAGAUAGAUUAUACACCAGAAGAGAAAGAGGUCUAUUUCGAGGAAAGAAGAAUUGAGUAUUCAGCUACUCAUCUCUCAAGAGAGGAUGCUGAAUAUGAUGAUGAGAUCAGAGAGGACUAUGCAGACCCUCUCUAUCACCCAUUUUCUUCUUAAUGAGUGUGAGGAGUCAAGCUAUAGACUUUAAACAAGCUCACUUGGGAGGAAUUCCCAAGACUGUUUCUGUAAAUAAAACUUUUAUUUUCUCGUUAUUUUUGAUUUGUUUUUGGUUGUGUUUGUGAUUCUCAGGAACAGAGCAACAGCGUGGAGGUAGAGUAAAAAUUUAAAAUUUUUACUCUACAGAGCAACAGGAGAUCGAGUAUUUCAGAAAUUCAAGAACUUGAAAAACCUCUGUUGCAGUCAGGGGCCAUGAGGUCGAGUAAACUGGUCGAGUAUUAGUGAUGAUUCUAAAAACCAAAAUUUUGAAAUCAUAUCUAUGCUCGACCAACAGAAGCUACAGAGACUUACAGGGAGUUCAACAAAUUUACAGAGGAUUACAGAAGGUUCUAGUCAACAGAAAACAGUGCUUCAGGACAAAUAGACAGAACGUGGCCCACCACCUCUCACUUUUGUCCCCCCACGCGUUUUAAGAGAUAACAAAAUCUCUUCCUUCCUUCUCCACCACUCGAUCUCACCAUAUCCUCUCCCACCGACAUCAUCUCUCUCCCUCUCCAAACACUCGACCACGAAAACUCACUCCACCUCACGUCCAUCACUCGACCAAACCUCGCAAUCCCUUUUCCUCUCCAAACACUUGACCUCGCCCGUCACUCGAUCUCGCCCUUCCGGCUUCGUCUCUCUCCUUCACUCGACGACGGUACUCGAUUUUGCCAUUUCUUCCUUCUCACCACUCGACGGUUACUCGACCGCUCCGCCCUUCACUUCGCCGGAAGCUUCACCGCCUCACCGUCGCCUCCUUACCACUCGACCGCAACUCAACCUCUCCGUGCUUCAUCUUCAUCUUCAUUUACUCGACUUCGCCGGAGCUUCUCGCCGUUCCAGCUUCGCAUACUCUCUCACCGUCUCUCGUUUCACUCGACCACUUCACACUUCGCCUCAACAUCUUCGCCGGAGUUUCUCGCCAUUGUCCGUGCUUUCGUCAUCUCCGUUCACUCGACCACCGGACCGGCUUCACCAUCUCUCAACUAUCCACCAUUCACUCGACCUCGCCAUUCACUGCGCCUCCAUUCGUCUCUUUACUCGACUGCUCCUCAAACCGCCACCGUCUUCUCUAAAUUCGCCAUUUACUCGACCACACUGUUACGUCUCUCAUUCGUGUACAGUCGACCGCUAUACCCGAAGCCACAAUAUCACUGUACUCGACCGUUUCACUCGACCGCGUACUUGACUGGUUUAGUGUGUGUGUUUAUUUGAACUAACAUAUUGAUAUUUGGUUUUAAGUUACAUUCUUUUUCAGGGAAUCAAUAUGAGUAACUACAGUGGCGAAUCCUCCAUGGAUGCGGAUUACAACGUCGAUGAAGCUGAAUCUUGGUCAACUAGACCAGAGAGAGAGCAACAGGCUUAUGAGAGCUUCAGAGCCGAGACCCAACGCUCAGUAGCUCGACGCAAUGAAAAGAGAGCUGAGAUUGCUAGAGGAAAGAGAGCGAUGACCAGCAGAUAUGAGUUGAUCGACGAAGAUAUUGACGUCGAGUAUGAGCCUGAGUCAUGGCACAGAGAAACAAAACUGUUGAACAAGCCUGAUGAAGUUACAGUGGAGGAGUACAUCAGACUUUUCGAGCUGAACGACUUCUGGGGAACGAGGUACCCCUGUUAUGAGACUCUAGCCCAGCUUGGGCUACUGGAGGACGUACAGCACUUAUUCGAGAAGUGCCAUCUUGAGACGCUGAUGUCUUACCCGUACGUCGCUUACAAGAAGGAAACAAUAGAGUUUCUCUCCACUCUGCAAGUGGAGUUGUAUCAGGGACUUACUGCAGAUGAACUGGAGAGUGAAGGGUUGGGGUUCUUGACUUUUUCAGUUAACGAGCAGCGUUACCAGCUAUCUAUCAAGAGCUUGGAAGGAUUAUUUGGUUUUCCCAGUGGAAAGGGAACUAAACCCAAGUUCGAAAGGGAAGAGUUGAAGGAUUUGUGGUUAACCAUUGGGAACGAUUUGGCGCUCAACUCUGCAAGGUCUAAGAGCAACCAGAUUCGAAGCCCUGUGAUCCGCUACUAUCAGCGCUCAGUAGCGAAUGUUCUGUACCCCAGGGAAUCUACAGGCACCGUGUCUAACACAGACAUGGAGAUGAUUGAUUCUGCACUCAAGGGUAUUCUCCGGAGAACAAAGGGGAAGAAGGUCCUAAAGGGCGACCUUAAUGAUACACCACCGGUCAUGCUUCUGUUGAUCCAUAUGUGUGGAUACAGGAAGUGGGCGCACACCAACGGGAGGAAGAAGGUGCGAGGAGCCCUUUGUGUGGGUGGCGUUGUGACACCGAUUCUGAUUGCAUGUGGUGUACCUCUCACAUCUCCAGGGUUUGAUCCGAGGAUGAUGGAUUUAGAUCACUAGCGUCGUUGUGAGUUUCUGGAAUACGACAUGGUUGGCGAUUUUUAUCGCUACAAAUUCGAGAACUCCCUGACCCGAACAGCCAACAUUUUGCUUCCCUGCAUCGAGGCCACAACCAUACUUCAGGGUGAGAACAUUGACUUCAGACCUGCGCGUGAUUAUCUCUACUUUGAGAGCGCUCCACCGACUGAUGACAAUGUCCCUAUGACGGAAGCUACAGAGGAUGAUAUUGCUGAGACGGAUGAGGAUAGGGAGGAGGAGUAUGAUACGAGCAUGUAUCAUUUCAGUGAGCACGUACCUCCAGCGCGGGAGAGCAAGAGCUUGAGUGAAGCUCAUAGAAACAACAGUAAGUUGCAGAGGUGGUGCAAGAAACAAGAUAGGCUACUUAUCAAGUGCUUCAAAGCCAUCACGUUUCUGACGGACAAGAUAAGCUGCUUCUCUUCUACUACAGCUAUUCCGCAGGGAGAGCGUCCUCAGGACAUGCCUUCGAGGAGAUAUGACGCGCCAGGGCCAAGUCAUCACAGGCCUGAGCCAAGUCACCACAGGCCUGAGCCUAGUGACCGAGUAGUCCCACCAGUCCCUGCGAGGCAUUCAUCAUUCGAGCCUCUGGAGCUCGGGAGAAAGAAGAAGGCUGCACUCACUCGGUCUGGCAGCAGGAGUACACGACUUCUCCAGUCCCGUAGCUUACGCGACCGCGGUGCUGGCCGCAGCAGAAGAAGAGAGGUCGAGUAUCAUCACAGCGGUGCUGGCCGCGACGAAGGAGCAGAGGUCGAGUACCCCCAGGGGGAAGCUGGGACACAACAGGGAGAUUCUUCGAUGGCCUGGGAGCAAUCACAGACAGCUAUUGAUGACCAACUCCGCUCCUUCUUCCACUGAGGUAUGCACCUCACUCCACCAUUGUAAUAUACCAUCUCUUGUUUUUAUUUUGUUUUUGUGAUGUGUUUUUGUCCUGAGUACUCUCUUCCAAAUUUGGUCACACAGUGGACUGUGUGAUUUAAGUUUGGGGGAGGGCUCAGGAAGUGUGUGUUGCAUUGUAUAAUCUUGAGUCUGCAUUCAUCUAAGGCAUAGAAAAACCAAAAAAAUUGAAAAAUUCCAGAAAAUGAUUUCACAAAAAUAGAGUGUUCAUGUAGUUGCAUUGCAUUUAGGAUCGAGUCUAGAGUGUUUCGUUUAGGAUUGUUGCAUAUGCAUAGGGGAUAAUGAUGAGAUAACCUUGUAAGCAUUUUGGUUCACCAGAUAAGCUCAGUGCCCUCGUUGUUAGUUGUUUGAUGCGUUGUCAUUGAAAUUUAAGUAAGAACUGCACCAUGCCUAGAUUGCUCUACUCGACCACACUGUUAGGAUCUGAUAUCAUUCCCUAUCAAUUUGAACUUGAAUCUGAUUUAGAAUUAUCAUGUCUUGGCAUCGAAUUUGAACUCAUGGAUACCCUAAAAUACUUGGAUUUUCUUACUCAUUUUAACCACUCUUGUUGAUCCAAGUAGCUGACUCUCCUUAUUAGAGCAGUUAACCCAUACCCAAACCUGAACUUUCUUUCAAGCCCUAUAUCACUUUUGAGUGUUUGUGAGGUCUUAUUUCGAUUGAGCUUGGUAGAAAGUGUUAGGUUCGUAACGACAGAGAUAGUGUCUCAUGUAGUUCUAGUUCGCGUUCUUCAGACUGGAUAGGACUAGGUGGGCGCUUAUAUCAUGGGUUGUGAUGUGUUUAAAAGAAAAGAGGGAAUCCAUUGUUGAUGAGGAAAGGGAAAGAAUUCCAGGGGAAGUAAGCUAAAGAAGUUAGAAAAAAAAUCUAGUAAAGGUUUUGGGAAUGUUAAAGAAAAGAAUGAGGUUCUUGUUAGCUAAAGAAGAAGGGUUAAAAGCCUUUGGAUUUAAAAAAAAAAAAAAAAAAAAAAAAAA
rnacentral:sRNA from 1 species